CCAUGAAGACUGGAAUUGCUGUAAUGGCAGGUCAGCAUACUGCCGUGAAUACGUUCCCGGGCCUUGUACACACCGCCCGUCACACCAUGAGAGUUGGGAAUACCCGAAGCCUGUGAGCUAACUUAUAGAGGCAGCAGUCGAAGGUAGAAUCAAUGAUUGGGGUGAAGUCGUAACAAGGUACC
rnacentral:rRNA from 1 species